rnacentral:rRNA from 1 species
AUGAACGCUGGCGGCGUGCCUAAUACAUGCAAGUCGAGCGAACAGACGAGGAGCUUGCUCCUCUGACGUUAGCGGCGGACGGGUGAGUAACACGUGGAUAACCUACCUAUAAGACUGGGAUAACUUCGGGAAACCGGAGCUAAUACCGGAUAACAUGUUGAACCGCAUGGUUCAACAGUGAAAGACGGUCUUGCUGUCGCUUAUAGAUGGAUCCGCGCCGCAUUAGCUAGUUGGUAAGGUAACGGCUUACCAAGGCAACGAUGCGUAGCCGACCUGAGAGGGUGAUCGGCCACACUGGAACUGAGACACGGUCCAGACUCCUACGGGAGGCAGCAGUAGGGAAUCUUCCGCAAUGGGCGAAAGCCUGACGGAGCAACGCCGCGUGAGUGAAGAAGGUCUUCGGAUCGUAAAACUCUGUUAUUAGGGAAGAACAAAUGUGUAAGUAACUAUGCACGUCUUGACGGUACCUAAUCAGGAAGCCACGGCUAACUACGUG